CUCGAGGGAUUUGCUUUUUAACGAUUGUGGUGACAGAGUUGCGCAGUUGCUACAUGUAGAAUUAGUUCCCCCUUACUCUCAGCACGAUGCUCAUCAACAAGUUUUGAUUGUCAAUACUCAUUUGCUGUUUCCUCAUGAUUCAACUUUGUCUAUAGUAAGACUGCAGCAGGUUUAUAAGAUUCUUCAGUAUGUAGUGUCACAGUCUUUAAAACACUGUGAAUACAUAAUCGGGCAUUAGGUUGAGAGAUUUGGCCGAGACUAUGAUUGAUUUAUGACAUUGACAUUCUUCUCCUCAAGCUGGUUCUUGGUGUUGUGGAACUUGUUCUUUGUGUCCUGUCUCUUGCUUCAUCGUCUUCGCGUUUUAUCUGGAACGAUUUCUUCACCUUUUGCCAACGCAAUCCCCAGUUUUGUGUCCUGUCUCUUGCUUCUUCUUUUAAGUGUCUUGAUUUCAUCAUCUCUACAACCUGCAGAAUUUUCUUCCUUUGCCUCCAACUGCUCGUCUUGCAUCAUCAUCCUCAUCUUUACUUGUUCCGUGAAAAGCACUUGAGUAUUGAUCUUGUUUUAUUAUAUGAUGUUUAGCUUUAUGUCAGUCACUUAUAUAUUACUCUUUGAAUUCAAGAAAGGUUAACAGAUUUGUUCUGUUGUAUUUCAUA